ACAUUGUAUUUUUAUUUGUAUACCAUUUGUUGCCACAUAUUUAAACAAAUUUUGUUUUCCCCAUUUAAAAUACUACAUGGUAUAUUAUUUAACUUGUUUGCACACUUGAAUUAUCAGUAACUUAAAUCAGUAUUUUAGUGUAUUAACAUUUAAUGUUUUUAUAGUGUAUAAUAAGUGUUGGUAAUAAAAUAAAAGGUUUGCUUAUUUGCAAUAUUAAAUGUAUGCAUUAAUCUUUUUUAUUAGUCUGAUUAGUGCUGGCUAGAAUAAAUAGGGUUGAUCAAUCAGUACUUUUUACUUUUAAUAGUCAAGUACAUUAAAAAUCAAGUAAUUUGUACUUUUACAUAAGUAAAACUAAAAAUGAGUACUUUUACAGGAGUAAUAUUUGAAUAGAGUAUCUGUACUUUUACUCAAGUACUUGAUUUGUGUACUUUGUCCACCACUGUCUAUAAAUACCCAUUACAUCAAGUAGUCAUUAAGUGCUGUGAAACCUCAAAUAGAUUAAUUAGCAGAAGUUAUUACUCCCACACCUGCUUGUGAUGUCAUUAACGACAGUCCUAUAUUGUUGAACCAAUGUGGUUCAAAUGAGAGGUUACUAAGGUUUUGGGAAACAGCCGUGACUAGUUGGUUAGUUUCUCCAAUGAUGCAUCGUAGCCUACUACGGUAGUUAAUCAGCGAGUUACAUCAUUGUACAGGAAACACACCCCUGGUGUGGUCAGUGUUGGGUGACAAUUUUUGAGAUUUUGUAUUGAGAUUUUUGGUCAAACUGUUUGGAAGUUAUAAGCAGCAAGAAAAACAGCAACAAUUUUUCAUAUUCAUAACAAUCGCUGCGUCCCAAUUCGCCUACUUAUACUACGUCCUAAAAGUAUGUACUGUUUUUGUAAAGAAAAAGUGCAUACUUUUGAGUGUGUAGCAGAAGAGUAUGCAAGCUUUGGGACAUACUACCUCGUCAUAAUUGCGUCUUUAACGGACGUUCUGUCGCUUAGUUACGCAACCUGUAACUGUUUAAACUACCCUGUCAAUCAUCUUGUCACAGUUAAAAUCCUCCACAUUCAAUUAAAUUUAAUUUCCUACCGUUUCGGAGAGAAAUGUUGCUCUGCCAGUCAUGGGUUUUUCAUGCAAUAACUCUCCUCAUCUUUGCAUAAUGAUGCAUUUAGAAGUUAAUGACCAAACGCAUUUUUAUAAAAGUUCACAAUGCUGUUGCAGAUGAAAUAUAAUGUAGAUAACAUUUAAUAAAUAUCUUUUCGUCAGGUUAGAUACUGAUUAUUAAUCACUCAAGCCCCUUUAUCUUAACCGCACUGCUUAACCGUCGGUCUCGCACAUCCGUCAUGUUUGUAGUUUUUUACCACUUUGUACUCAUAUUUGUAGUUCUAAUCGAAUCCUCGUCCACAGCGCAAUGUGUUAUGGGCAAUAUUAGCGGUUAGAAGUGUGCACGGAUCUGCACUUCCAAUUCUAACCGGAAAAAGUAGACCAUCCGGGUAUCUUUGGAAUACUCAUUUCAACAUACUACGAUUUGGGACAUACUAAUUCUUUUUUCGAAUACUAUUUAGAUAGUAUGCGAAUUCGGACGCAGCAACUGCCUCACGUCCAUUUUUUGGCGUGUUGUUCAUAGAAUUUGUUCUCACAUUAAAUGAGAAAGGUUUGACGAAUUGACUUGAAUUCCAUGUUUUCUUUGUGUUUUGUUUUUUUGUCAGCAGGGUCUGAGGAUGUUCUGAUUCAACUUUCAUGAAAAUUGGAACAAUGGUCUAGGAGGAGUUUGAAAAAAGUCUUGGAAGACAUCCUCUACCAGCUGUUUGAUGACUUUGUUAGGAGGAGGCAGGAGAGACGCUUUGUGGUGCGUUUCACACACCUCCAAGAUGGUGUUCAGGUUGGCUCGCCGAUGGGCCAUGUCCUCACACAUGCUCAGGAGAAGGCAAUUCAGAGAGUCACUUAGCUGAAUGGGCUAAACAAGCAGAAGACACAUUUCCAGUAUAUUUUCAGAUAAAAGGGAGAUGAUAAUCAACUGACCAAUACAGAGUCAUCCCAAGAGAAUACACGAUUAUCUGGAAGAAACGACACAAAUCAUCAGUAUCUCUUCUGAAAGGUCUACGAGUGAUUCAGCCGAGCCCAGCAGGAGGGACCAAACCUCGUCCUCUUCCAGCGGUCCUCCUCUGGCUUCCAGAACCUCGGCGAGGGUCACAAACGUGCUGCUCAUCCUGCGAAGUCGCGAGACAGAUA